UACGUAGGGGGCAAGCGUUGUCCGGAAUCAUUGGGCGUAAAGCGCGCGUAGGCGGCCAGACAAGUCCGGUGUGAAAGUCACAGGCUCAACCUGUGAAUGCCGCUGGAAACUGUCUGGCUAGAGUCCGGAAGAGGCGGAGUGGAAUUCCUGGUGUAGCGGUGAAAUGCGCAGAUAUCAGGAGGAACACCUAUUGCGAAGGCAGCUCGCUGGGACGUAACUGACGCUGAGACGCGAAAGCGUGGGGAGCAAACAGG
rnacentral:rRNA from 1 species